GCCUGUAUCAGGCCCGGCCCCUGGCGCCCGGCCAGCCAGGAGGCUGGGAGGCUGGGAGGCUGGAGGUUUGCAGGCUCAUAAAAAGAAAGCGCUUGUUCCCUGCCAGAACAGAACGCGCCAGGUUUGAUGGGGAGGACAAGGGCACUGCUGGGACUGGCAUGUUCACCCAAAAGACCGUGUUCGUCCUACAGAUCGGGAGGCAGGCGAAGAUUUGCAGCUUCUUUGGCAGGGAGGUACGGCGCCGCUGACCCACUUACAGGUGACCCAGUUCCAGCUCACCGUGGACAAGUGCCAGUGAGCGGACUGGCCCUGGCCUGGGGAGCAACACUUGGAGUAAACCGCAGGGAAAAAUCAAGGUCAAAGCCGCUGGGUUCUAAUAUCACCCCUGUUACCAACUGGCUGUGUGCGCCCCCUCCCCACCCGAGGCAACCACCUUCAUGUGCACACAGUAGAUUCAUGAAAGCAACUCGAGCUGUGCUCUGCCCAGCGAAAGAAGAUGCCAGCACUUCUCUUCAUCUCUUGCGGACUCCUUUCUCAGCACAGCAGGAUGGGAUGGGGCGGUGAGAUUUCCAUCCCAAGGAGUGGAUCGCGAGCCAACUGGGGUAAGUGGUCCCUUCAGGCAAAUGCCUGGCUGCUGUCAGAUUUCCACAUACCCCCACCCCUGCUCUCCCACACCACAGUGUCAGGCGAAUGGGGGAGGAGAACAGAACUGACGCCACCACCUCCCACAUUCUAUCAUGCCCACAGAUCCUCUGGGGAGAUAGUUCGUGAGCAGUAUGCUGACUUGGCAUGGCUGAGGAGGGGCCUGAGACUCAGCAUUCCUACCAAGUUUCCUGGUAAUGCGGGGGCUGUGGGUCCCAAGACCACAUUUCUGAAUAGCUUCUGAAGGACGAAGGGCUUCUGGGGUCUCGUGCAAAGAGAGGAGUCGGGUCUUAGCAUGCCCCCACACAGGACCCCACUCCCCAUCCCCAGGGAAGUUUCCAGGCCUCUGCAAUGAUGAUUGCGGAUGUGCAAAUGGCCCCCCUCCCUGACUUAUGCAUGAGCCCAGGGAACUCCAGGUCUGACCAUCUGGGUACAGUUGGAGACCUGUCACCUCAGCCAACUCUGCCGCCCCUCAGCAGUCACUAGGGCCAUGGAACCCUUGAAGACUGUGACAUCCCCGUCUGGACCUUGGUCUAGUUCCCCUGGCCCUCAACACGGCUGUCUUCCACUGGCAAAACCUCGAGGGCCAUCACCAGCCCCCAAGUGACAAGGACAGCUGGGCUCAAUGCACAUGACCGCCUUUCCGAGUUCUCUUUAAUAUUAAUACGAGAAUGGGGUACAGCCUCUGACCUCUCCUUCCAGAGCCCCAAACACAACCGGAAGCCAAAACGCCACUGCCAGAGAUAUGCCCUUCACGUCUCAAAUAUCCCUCCCUCUGGCCAGAUCCCCAAAGGGGCAACAAGAAUCCCUUCAGGAGGCUGCCCCAGCUCCAGCCCCAUCUUCCCGUCAUCCUCCCACCGUCCUCCCAAAGCAGAAGGAACAGCCUCUCCCUCUUCCUCUUCCUGUCUGGUUGGGACUUCCCUCUCAACAUAAAGGAGAACCCAAAGGGAUAGAGGAAAUCCUUUUCUCUCCAAACAAUGCCUGACUUCCUCCCUGAUUUCCUCCCUGUGGGUUGAAACACAGUCUAAUUGACCAAAGCUCAACAACAGCUUCCAUCGUGAGCAGUUCACGCUACUCCCAGGUGCUCUGGGAACCCCGAGACCCACCGGAAACCCACCAGAAAAUACUGCCCCAAACGAUCCUUGCUCCAUGGGGAAUGAAGGCGUCUCCCUCGUUGGCCCCAAGAAUCUGCAAAAGGACCGUUCUCUUGGCAACUUGGAAAUGGAGCCCACUCCUUCAGCCCCCUGGCCGAAGCCACACCCUCCCAGGACAGCCUACACCCCGUGACUGAUGGUGGCAGGGUACCACCUUAGGGACCACUGUGAUGGGCCAUCUGGCUACAGAGUUCCCUGUGGGCUGAGCUGAAGCUGAGGCCUGUGGGUGGGGCCCCAGAUGCGCCACCUCCCAUGGUGAUUACUGAGCACCUAUAGGGUGCUGGACACCUGUGGGCCACUGGGAAGAUCGCUGGUCAAGAAUCGGCUUUCGGGGGCAUCUGGGUGGCUAAAGCAGUUCAGUGUCUGACUCUUGAUUCCAGCUCAGGUCCUGAUCUCAAGGUCGUGAGAGGGAGCCCCGUGUCGGUCUCCACGUUCAGCAGGGAGUCUGCUUGAGAGUCUGUCUCUCCCCUGAUUUUCGUGCAAGCACAAGCUCAUUCUCCUUCGUGGAUGCAUACUUUUGUCUAGUACAAUAAAUAUGACUUACUAGAAAAGAUUAAAUAAAAAAGAAAUACAAGGGAUGUCUGGGGGGUUUCAGUCAGCAAAGUAUCUGCCUUCAGCUCAGGUCAUGAUCUCAGGGUCCUGGGAUCAAGUCCCGCAUCGGGCUCUCUGCUCAGCAGGGACCCUGCUUCCUCCUCUCUCUCUGCCUGCCUCUCUGCCUACUUGUGAUCUCUCUCUGUAAAAUAAAUAAAUAAAAUCUUUAAAAAAAAAAAAAGCAGAUUGGCCCCAAACAACUGCUUUAGAAAAAAAUUAAAAUAAAAUAAAAUAAAUCUUAAAGAAAAAAAAAAAGAGUCCACUUUCAAAGCACUUAUAAGUGACCUCACCCCCCCCCCCGUGGUGGGCACUGUGAUAAACCAUCCAGUUCCCUUUUCAGGGGCUGACUCAGCUACUGAGAGCCCCCUGGC
rnacentral:lncRNA from 1 species